rnacentral:rRNA from 1 species
UCCCGGCAGUCCAAGUCGCAGCCAACAUUAUUGGGUCUAAAACAUCCGUAGCUUGUUUGUUAAGUUCUUUGUGAAAUCCUAUGUCUCAAGCAUAGGGCUUGCGGAGAAUACUGGCAAGCUAGAGACCGGAAGAUGCAAGGAGUACACCAAAGGUAGUGGUAAAAUACGUUAAUCUUUGGUGGACUAACAAUUGGCGAAGGCACCUUGCAAGUACGGAUCUGACAGUGAGGGAUGAAGGCCAGGGGCGCAAAAU